rnacentral:lncRNA from 1 species
GGCUAGCGGCUGGCCGUGUGGUGACCUUGGGCGAGUUACUUCGCACAGCCAUCCAGGGGCCUCUUCUCCAACACGAUAGCACUGCACCCGGAGGGCCUUCAGACCUGAGCUGAAAUCUACACCACCGGCUCUCUGACUAUCAGGCUUUGGACUAUACUUUGGGCUUUCCUGGGUCUCUUACCUGGCAGACAGCAGAUUUUGGAACUUUUCAGCCUCCAUAAUCAUAUUCUACUGGAACUUCUAGCAGGCAAACUCACCUAGUGCUCUCUGGAAGGUGAUGUGGGUGGACCUCUGUCUGAUUCCAAUGUCUAGAUGCCAAUUAGCUCUCCACCAUCACCCCAGAGGCAGGGGAAAGAAGAUAUAAGUAGACCUGGGCCUGUCUUCAUUCACUCUCAGUGAGCACAUGGCAGGCAUUCAAGAAAUAUAGAGGCUGAAUUACAUUUCUUUUGAGGGUCUAAACGUUGCCCUCUGUGACUAGGUGUCAUUUGAUAUGGCAAUGAGAAUACAGAGCAGAGAUACUCAGGAACCAAAAGAAUCAUCUGAAGAUAACUGUUAAAAUGCAGAUUCUAGGGUCCUCCCUCCAGAGAUUCCAAUUCA